GUGACACUCGCCGACAUUAUUGGGCGGCGGACUUUUAAUCCGUAGGUUCUGGGUUCGAGCCCCAGGCGGCCCACUA
rnacentral:tRNA from 1 species